rnacentral:rRNA from 1 species
CCUACGGGAGGCAGCAGUGGGGAAUAUUGGACAAUGGGGGGAACCCUGAUCCAGCGACGCCGCGUGAGUGAAGAAGUAUUUCGGUAUGUAAAGCUCUAUCAGCAGGGAAGAAAGAAAUGACGGUACCUGACUAAGAAGCCCCGGCUAACUACGUGCCAGCAGCCGCGGUAAUACGUAGGGGGCAAGCGUUAUCCGGAUUUACUGGGUGUAAAGGGGGCGUAGACGGCGAUGCAAGUCUGAAGUGAAAGGCGGGGGCCCAACCUCCGGACUGCUUUGGAAACUGUAUGGCUGGAGUGCAGGAGAGGUAAGUGGAAUUCCUAGUGUAGCGGUGAAAUGCGUAGAUAUUAGGAGGAACACCAGUGGCGAAGGCGGCUUACUGGACUGUAACUGACGUUGAGGCUCGAAAGCGUGGGGAGCAAACAGGAUUAGAUACCCUUGUAGUC